UACGAAGGGUGCAAGCGUUGUUCGGAAUCAUUGGGCGUAAAGCGCGCGCAGGCGGAUUCGUAAGUCAGAUGUGAAAUCUCGGGGCUCAACCUCGAAACUGCGUCUGAAACUACAAGUCUAGAAUGUUGUUGAGGUUUGCGGAAUGGGUCAUGUAGCGGUGAAAUGCAUAGAUAUGACCCGGAACACCUAUUGCGAAGGCAGCAGGCUAAACAAAUAUUGACGCUGAGGCUCGAAAGCGUGGGGAUCAAACAGG
rnacentral:rRNA from 1 species